CACGUAGGGCGCGAGCGUUGUCCGGAAUUAUUGGGCGUAAAGAGCUCGUAGGCGGCCUGUUGCGUCCGCUGUGAAAGCCCGGGGCUUAACCCCGGGUCGGCAGUGGAUACGGGCAGGCUAGAGGUAGGUAGGGGAGAAUGGAAUUCCCGGUGUAGCGGUGAAAUGCGCAGAUAUCGGGAGGAACACCGGUGGCGAAGGCGGUUCUCUGGGCCUUACCUGACACUGAGGAGCGAAAGCGUGGGGAGCGAACAGG
rnacentral:rRNA from 1 species